CCUACGGGCGGCAGCAGUGAGGAAUAUUGGUCAAUGGACGAGAGUCUGAACCAGCCAAGUAGCGUGAAGGAUGACUGCCCUAUGGGUUGUAAACUUCUUUUAUAAAGGAAUAAAACGAGGCACGUGUGCCGUUUUGCAUGUACUUUAUGAAUAAGGAUCGGCUAACUCCGUGCCAGCAGCCGCGGUAAUACGGAGGAUCCGAGCGUUAUCCGGAUUUAUUGGGUUUAAAGGGAGCGUAGAUGGGUUGUUAAGUCAGUUGUGAAAGUUUGCGGCUCAACCGUAAAAUUGCAAUUGAUACUGGCAGUCUUGAGUACAGUUGAGGUAAGCGGAAUUCGUGGUGUAGCGGUGAAAUGCUUAGAUAUCACGAAGAACCCCGAUUGCGAAGGCAGCUUACUAAACUGUGACUGACAUUGAUGCUCGAAAGUGCGGGUAUCAAACAGGAUUAGAUACCCGAGUAGUC
rnacentral:rRNA from 1 species